rnacentral:rRNA from 1 species
UACGGGGGGAGCAAGCGUUGUUCGGAUUUACUGGGCGUAAAGGGCGCGUAGGCGGCCAGCACAAGUCAGUUGUGAAAUCUCCGAGCUUAACUCGGAACGGUCAACUGAUACUGUGCGGCUAGAGUGCAGAAGGGGCAACUGGAAUUCUUGGUGUAGCGGUGAAAUGCGUUGAUAUCGACAGGAACGCCGGUGGCGAAAGCGGACCGCUGGCCCUCCUCUGACGCUGAGGCGCGAAAGCCAGGGGAGCGAACGGG